rnacentral:lncRNA from 1 species
CUCCCAAACUGGGACUUUGCCUCCCCGCGGGGCUCGACGCCCGCUCGGGCGCGGGGAGGGAAAGGGACAGCGGCCGCCCCGCGGGAGGGAGAGGAGAGUCAUCCCGCUCGCCGGCGGGAUUUGCCAUCAAUAAACGCGAUCCGGGGGGGCCGAGCGGAGCGAGACGUGCUUUAUUGGGAUGGGGGCGCUGCGCAGCGGAAAAACAGCCGUUUCUCCCCAAAACGCCGUUGCCUGGCUCCUCCGGGAGCCUCGUGCCCCCGGAGCGGCUCCUCGGGGGCUUCUCCAGGAGCCGGGGCUUCUCCGGGGCUUCUCUGGGAGCCUCGGGACCCCGGAGAGGGCCCUUCCCUGGCUCCUCCGGGAGCCUCACACCUCCGGAGCGGCUCUUCCGGGAGCUUCGCGCCUCCGGAGCAGCUCCGUGGGGGCUCCUCCGGGAGCCACACGCCCUCGGAGCAGCCCCUUCCUUGGCUCCUCUGGGAGCCUUGUGCCUCCGGAGCGGCUCCAGAGCAGCUCUUCUGGGAGUGUCGCGCCCCCAGAGUGGCUCCUCUAGGGUCCCUCCGGGGGCCUCGCGGCUCUGGAGUGGCUUCUCCGGGGGCCUCACAGCUCUGGAGCGGCUUCUCCGGGAGCCUUGUGCCCCUGGAGCAGCUUCUCCAGGGCCUCUCCGGGAGCCUUGUGCCCUCGGAGUGGCUCCUCCAGGAGCCUUGUGCCCUUGGAGCUGCUCUUCCAGGAGCCUCAUGCCCCUGGGGCAGCUCCGGAGCGGCUCCUCUGGGAACCUCGUGCCCUCGGAGCGGCUCCGGAGCGGCUCCUCUGGGAACCUCGUGCCCUUGGAGCGGCUCUGGAGUGGCUCCUCCGGGAGCCUCAUGCCCCUGGGGCAGCUCUGGAGCGGCUCCUCUGGGAACCUUGUGCCUCCAGGGCAGCUCCAGAGUGGCUCUUCCGGGAGCCUCGAGUGGCUCCUCCAGGAGCCUCGUGCCCUCGGAGCAGCUCCGGAGCGGCUCCCCUGGGAACCUCGUGCCCUCGGAGCGGCUCCUCGGGGAGCCUCGCGCCUCCAGAGCGGCCCCUUCCCCAGCUGCUG